rnacentral:snoRNA from 1 species
AAACCAUGAUGAGGACACUCUAAAAGAAGGCCUUUAAAACGUUCCAUACACCUAGAAAAUGAUUCAUUGGGUUUUUGAUGAAACUGGAGAAUGUCGUUCCUUAGUUU